rnacentral:rRNA from 1 species
AACGAACGCUGGCGGCAUGCCUAACACAUGCAAGUCGAACGAGACCUUCGGGUCUAGUGGCGCACGGGUGCGUAACGCGUGGGAACCUGCCCUUAGGUACGGAAUAACUCAGGGAAGCUUGUGCUAAUACCGUAUAAUGUCUUCGGACCAAAGAUUUAUCGACUUUGGAUGGGCCCGCGUUGGAUUAGCUUGUUGGUGGGGUAAUGGCCUACCAAGGCGACGAUCUAUAGCUGGUCUGAGAGGAGGAUCAGCCACACUGGGACUGCGACACGGCCCAGACUCCUACGGGGGGGAGCAGUGGGGAAUAUUGGACAAUAGGCGCAAGCUUGAUCCAGCAAUGCCGCGUGAGUGAUGAAGGCCGUAGGGUUGUAAAGCUCUUGUACCAGGGAGGAUAAUGACAGUACCUGGAGAAUAAGCUCCGGCUAACUCCGUGCCAGCCGCCGCCGUAACAC